rnacentral:rRNA from 1 species
GAUGAACGCUGGCGGCGUGCCUAAUACAUGCAAGUCGAGCGAACAGACGAGGAGCUUGCUCCUCUGACGUUAGGGGCGGACGGGUGAGUAACACGUGGGUAACCUACCUAUAAGACUGGGAUAAGUUCGGGAAACCGGAGCUAAUACCGGAUAAUAUAUUGAACCGCAUGGUUCAAUAGUGAAAGCGGGUUUUGCUGUCACUGAUAGAUGGAUUCGCGCCGCAUUAGCUAGUUGGUAAGGUAACGGCUUACCAAGGCAACGAUGCGUAGCCGCCCUGAGAGGGUGAUCGGGCACACUGGAUCUGAGACACGGUCCAGACUCCUACGGGAGGCCGCAGUAGAGAAUCCUCCGCAAUGGGCGAAAGCCUGACGGAGCAACGCCGCGUGAGUGAUGAUGGUCUUCGGAUCGUAAAACGAUGUAAUUAGGGAAGAACAAAUGUGUAAGUAACUAUGCACGUCUUGACGGUACCUACUCAGAAAGCCACGGCUAACUACGUG